rnacentral:lncRNA from 1 species
ACCUGUGUGUCACCUGUGUCUCACCUGUUCAUCACCUGUAUCUCACCUGUGUGUCACCUGUGUCUCACCUGUUCAUCACCUGUGUGUCACCUGUGUCUCACCUGUAUCUCACCUGUAUCUCACCUGUAUCUCACCUGUAUCUCACCUGUGUGUCACCUGUCCAUCACCUUUAUCUCACCUGUAUCUCACAUGUAUGUCACCUGUGUGUCACCUGUGUGUCACCUGUGUGUCACCUGUGUGUCACCUGUGUGUCACCUGUCCAUCACCAUUAUCUCACCUGUGUGUCACCUGUGUCUCACCUGUGUGUCACCUGUUCAUCACCUGUUCAUCACCUGUUCAUCACCUGUUCAUCACCUGUAUCUCACCUGUGUGUCACCUGUCCAUCACCUUUAUCUCACCUGUCCAUCACCUGUAUCUCACCUGUUCAUCACCUGUCUCUCACCUGUCUCUCCCCCUCCCAGGUACGCGGCGUACCGCACGCCGCAGCUGCCGCAGUUCCUGGGUCAGAUUUUGGGUGUAAAUUCCCCAAUUUUGGGUGUAAAUUCCCCAAUUUGGGGUGUAAAUUCCCCAAUUUUGGCAGAAUUAACCCCAUUUCUCACCUGUAUCUCACCUUUAUCUCACCUGUGCAUCACCUGUUCAUCACCUGUGUGUCACCUGUUCAUCACCUGUCUCUCACCUGUCUCUCACCUGUUCAUCACCUGUAUCUCACCUGUCUCUCACCUGUCCAUCACCUGUCUCUCACCUGUGUCUCACCUGUCCAUCACCUGUAUCUCACCUGUAUCUCAGCUGUUCAUCACCUGUCUCUCACCUGUCUCUCACCUGUAUCUCACCUGUCUCUCACCUGUCUCUCACCUGUCCAUCACCUGUCCAUCACCUGUUCAUCACCUGUCUCACCUGUCUCUCACCUGUAUCUCACCUGUUCCUCACCUGUCUCUCCCCCUCCCAGGUACGUGGUGUACCGCACGCCGCAGCUGCCGCAGUUCCUGGGUCAGAUUUUGGGUGUAAAUGU